ACGCUCGACACCUACGGGAGGCGGCAGUGGGGAAUAUUGCACAAUGGGGGAAACCCUGAUGCAGCGACGCCGCGUGGAGGAAGAAGGUCUUCGGAUUGUAAACUCCUGUUGUUGGGGAAAAAGAGGAUGGUACCCAACAAGGAAGUGAACGGCUAACUACGUGCCGGCAGCCGCGGUAAUCUGAGCGGGCUGGCAAGGC
rnacentral:rRNA from 1 species